rnacentral:lncRNA from 1 species
UGGUAUGUCUUUUUUUUUUUUUUUUUCCUUUUCUAUUAACAACAAUUUUAUAUAUACUAAAAUUAAUUAUCCAUCAGUUUAUUAUUCAUUGAUCAAAGUGAAAAGCAAAAAUAUUCUGAUAAAGAUGACUAGCUCUAAAAUGAAGUUCCAAAUUUUACAUUAAUGUAGAAAUUUGAUUCACAUACAUAUCCCACUAGAGAGAGGUUUCAAAUGCAUAUUGGCAACCAUCUUAUUUCAAUAUAGAUUUAUUUAUUUAAUUGCAAACUUCAAUACACCUUUUUGACAUGUUGGCUUAAUUAUUAUUUUUUUAAUAUGUCAAACAAUAGAUUUUUUUUUUCUUUUUUCCUUGUAAUGGGUAGCAAUGAGAUUUGGAUCCUAAAUUUCUGAACUUUCAUAAUAGAUAUAUCCUUCAUCAUACUUUAGAUAUAAAAUAUAUCUCUAAAUUUUGAUAAAUGAAACAGAUAUAUUUUCCGUUAUAUGUUUGGAUCGGUUUAUAGGUUAAAUUAAAGUUAUUUUCAGACAGAAUGGGGAUAAAUUAAAUUAAAAAGGGGCAAAUAAACAAGAUUGUAACACGUGUCCUGUCGUUAGUGAGUAAGGUAUAUAUGUACCUUUUCAUUAACGACAAAAGUAUAUUUGUACCUAAAGUAUUACAGAGAGUAUAUAUGUAUCAUCUAUCAAAGUUCAGGGGUAUAUAUGUACCUUUUCAUUGACGGAGGAUAUAUUUGUACCAUUUAUCAAAGUUCAGGGGUAUGUAUGUAUCUUUUCAUUAACGACAAGGGUAUAUUUGUACCUAAAGUAUGACGGAGGGUAUAUCUGUAUCAUCUAUCAAAGUUCAGGGGUAUGUAUGUAUCUUUUCAUUAACGACAAGGGUAUAUUUGUACCUAAAGUAUGACGGAGGGUAUAUCUGUAUCAUCUAUCAAAGUUCAGGGGUAUAUAUGUACCUUUUCAUUGACGGAAUGUAUAUGUGUACCAUUUAUCAAAGUUCACGGGUAUGUAUGUACCUUUUCAUUAACGACAAGGGCAUAUUUGUACCUAAAGUAUGACGGAGGGUAUAUCUGUACCAUUUUUUAAAAUUCAGGGGUAUAUUCGUACCUUUUCCGUAAAAUAAUUCCUACCUCCGAUCCGUCAACACUAACAACUACAUACCCGGUGCAUUCCCACAUAGUUGGGUCUGGGGGUAUGGUGUACGCACAUCAUACCACUACCUCAAGUGAAGUAGAGAGGUAAUUUCCGAUGGAUCCUGCUUAGGACCGAUAGUAUUAUAACAAAAAAAAUAAAAAAAUACAUAUAAACUAGUACACCUUUAGCCUUAGGAUAAUACUACCGCUAACAAGAUUACUCUAAUUUUAUUUGUGGC